GCCUGGGUGGCUCAGCUGGUUAAGCAUCUGACUUCAGCUCAGGUCAUGAUCUCGCAGUCUGUGAGUUCAAGCCUCGCAUCAGGCU
rnacentral:tRNA from 1 species